GGCGGCAUAGCCAAGUGGUAAGGCAGCGGCCUGCAAAGCCGUUAUUCGUCAGUUCGAAUCUGACUGCCGCCUCCA
rnacentral:tRNA from 1 species